UCUCCGUUGGUGAACCAGCGGAGGGAUCAUUACCGAGUUUACAGCUCCCAAACCCAAUGUGAACGUUACCAAACUGUUGCCUCGGCGGGGUCACGCCCCGGGUGCGUCGCAGCCCCGGAACCAGGCGCCCGCCGGAGGAACCAACCAAACUCUUUCUGUAGUCCCCUCGCGGACGUUAUUUCUUACUGCUCUGAGCAAAAAUUCAAAAUGAAUCAAAACUUUCAACAACGGAUCUCUUGGUUCUG
rnacentral:misc_RNA from 1 species